AAUCAUAUCCAAAGAGCAAUUUCUGCUGGUCGAUGACCGGAAGUUGUUCUGUUGAAGAAUUGUCGUCGUUGCAAAUCAUUACACCUUUUACAUCACGGCAAACAUAUCGUGGUGGAACUUUAGUCAUCAUUGGCUUCACUGCCUGCUCCUGAAUCGAAGGUUCCGCGGGAGAACUUGCUAUCGUUGUUGCUUUUGCUGCCAUGGUUUUUGACUAAUUACCCUUCUUUCUUCUCCAAACUCUUGUGAUUAAACAAGACUACACAGGGUUCUCAAUUAUUCAAGUAGAGUCAUUAGAAAAAUAUUGCUUUAAAUAGUAAAGAAGAUAUUUUAUACAUUAAUUGAUCAAAUAGAUAACUAAAUACCUACGACUUGGAAAAGGGACCAACUCCUUGACCGGAGUGAAGUAGUGGUAUUCAUGAAUUAAAUUUUAUGGAUUG
rnacentral:lncRNA from 1 species